rnacentral:rRNA from 1 species
UACGUAGGUGACAAGCGUUGUCCGGAUUUACUGGGCGUAAAGAGCGCGCAGGCGGUCGUUCAAGUCGGGUGUGAAACCCCCCGGCUCAACUGGGGAGGGUCAUUCGAUACUGCUCGACUCGAAGGCAGGAGAGGGAAGUGGAAUUCCCGGUGUAGUGGUGAAAUGCGUAGAUAUCGGGAGGAACACCAGUGGCGAAGGCGACUUCCUGGCCUGUUCUUGACGCUGAGGCGCGAAAGCUAGGGGAGCAAACGGG